AUCGACCCCCUCGGUGUCGUAGCCAACGCGUUAAGUGUUCCGCCUGGGGAGUACGCACGCAAGUGUGAAACUCAAAGGAAUUGACGGGGGCCCGCACAAGCGGUGGAGUAUGUGGUUUAAUUCGAUGCAACGCGAAGAACCUUACCAGGGUUUGACAUCCUGCGAACCUCUUAGAAAUUUGAGGGUGCCUUCGGGAACGCAGUGACAGGUGGUGCAUGGCUGUCGUCAGCUCGUGUCGUGAGAUGUUGGGUUAAGUCCCGCAACGAGCGCAACCCACGUUUUUAGUUGCCAGCAUUCAGUUGGGCACUCUAGAGAGGCCGCCGGUGAUAAACCGGAGGAAGGUGUGGAUGACGUCAAGUCAUCAUGCCCCUUACAUCCUGGGCUACACACGUACUACAAUGCUACGGACAAAGGGCAGCGAACUCGCGAGGGCAAGCAAAUCCCAUAAACCGUGGCUCAGUUCAGAUCGUAGGCUGCAACUCGCCUACGUGAAGCAGGAAUCGCUAGUAAUCGCAGGUCAGCAUACUGCGGUGAAUACGUUCCCGGGCCUUGUACACACCGCCCGUCACACCAUGGAAGUUGGCCACGCCCGAAGUCGUUACUCCAACC
rnacentral:rRNA from 1 species